GCUAACCUACGGGAGGCAGCAGUGGGGAAUAUUGCACAAUGGGGGAAACCCUGAUGCAGCGACGCCGCGUGAGUGAAGAAGUAUUUCGGUAUGUAAAGCUCUAUCAGCAGGGAAGAAAAUGACGGUACCUGACUAAGAAGCCCCGGCUAACUACGUGCCAGCAGCCGCGGUAAUACGUAGGGGGCAAGCGUUAUCCGGAUUCACUGGGUGUAAAGGGAGCGUAGACGGCGACGCAAGUCUGGAGUGAAAGCCCGCGGCCCAACCGCGGGACUGCAUUGGGAACUA
rnacentral:rRNA from 1 species